rnacentral:rRNA from 1 species
GACAGAGGGUGCAAACGUUGCUCGGAAUCACUGGGCGUAAAGGGCGUGUAGGCGGGCAGGUAAGUCGGGCGUGAAAUCCCUGAGCUCAACUCAGGAACUGCACUCGAAACUACUUGUCUUGAGUAUCGGAGAGGAAAGCGGAAUACCUGGUGUAGAGGUGAAAUUCGUAAAUAUCGGGAAGGAACACCAGUGGCGAAGGCGACUACCUGGCCUGUUCUUGACGCUGAGGCGGCGAAAGCUAGGGAGCAAACGGG